rnacentral:rRNA from 1 species
UACGUAGGGGGCUAGCGUUAUCCGGAAUUACUGGGCGUAAAGGGUGCGUAGGUGGUUUCUUAAGUCAGAGGUGAAAGGCUACGGCUCAACCGUGGUAAGCCUUUGAAACUGGGAAACUUGAGUGCAGGAGAGGAGAGUGGAAUUCCUAGUGUAGCGGUGAAAUGCGUAGAUAUUAGGAGGAACACCAGUUGCGAAGGCGGCUCUCUGGACUGUAACUGACACUGAGGCACGAAAGCGUGGGGAGCAAACAGGAUUAGAUACCCCUGUAGUCCCUGAGCGGG